rnacentral:lncRNA from 1 species
UAAAAGUGGUCAUCGCAUUCUGAUUCUACUUAUUUUUUUAUUCUUUUUUGAAGUUGUGGAAUAACAUGAAGUUAAAAAGUUCAUGUGAAAGAAAAGAAAAACACAACAGUCCAUUUUAACUAAAUGAGAUGAAUGUAUGAGUGAGUGUGACUAAUUGAAGCUAUCAUUUAUUACUUUAACUCUGUGAAAUGACAUUGGUGAGAAUCUAAAAUCUUACAGUCUAAGAAACAUUAACUAAACUAUCAAAAGUCAAAACAGUUUCCUUAAAAUCUUAGGCAUUCUCCAUAAGGAAACAUUUCACAUUACAAGAAGACGAUGAUUAGUUUCUCUGUCUUUGAAGGGGGUGAGAUUUUGUUUCCAAAUCCAGGAAAUUGAACAUAAAUGCAUUAGUUGAGUGGGAGUGGGAUCGAAGUGGAUGAGGUAAAAAAACACGUUUAGAAUGACUCCACUAAUAGAUGUAACUUUAUCAUCUCAUGAUUAGACCCAUGAACAAAUUGGCAAGCAAAGAAAGUUCCCAAUAAGUCCCACUAACCUCUUCUGUUUACGACAAACCCCAUCUAUGCUUUACCUAAUAAUAAUGCGUUCAUUUUACACGCCCACUACACAAAAGUUAGAUCAAACACUCCAAGCCCUACCAUUUCAGAGUUAGGGAAUCUACCCCAUGAUUGAGGGAAGAUCAAGAGAUCACAGCCGUCCAUGGUGCUCAAUGUCAUCCGUCAGAUCCAAGCGUAGGGAACCGCACAUAGAAUAAUCGUUUUUCUUUUUAAUAGAGGCGGCUCACCAAUUCUCUAUUUUCGAGAACCAAUACAACUUCGCUUUCGCAAACAGCAAUCAAACUUUGACACGUGUAAACGCUGACGAACUCGCCCCAUUUAAGCCGGCUGCAGUGGACCCACCUCAUUGGAAGGUUGUAUUACCUUCGCCACUACCACCAUUCACCGCCACUAGACAAAGGUUACAUUAUAACAUUGGGAAAUUUGCUGAUCAAAAAAAAAAAAAUAACAUUGGGAAAUUAUCAUUUCUUUUUCAAAAUAAACCAAAUAAGGGAGAGAGAAAGAGAGAAAUACAUAUUUGCAAUAAUAUAUGUAUCUUUAUUGUGCUAUUCUCAUAAUUUAGACAUACCACCUAUUUUCCAAGAAGUACAUUGUCAUCAUUUCAUUUGUCCUCAUCCCCAAGUCACUUAGCCACUAUGUACA